rnacentral:rRNA from 1 species
CUACGGGAGGCUCCAGUGAGGAAUUUUGCGCAAUGGGGGAAACCCUAACACAACAACGCCGCGUGAGCGAAGAAAACCUUCGGGUCGUAAAGCUCUGUCAAGUGGGAAAAAAAUUCUUUGAUGAACAGUCAAAGGACUUGAUGGUACCACUGGAGGAAGCACCGGCUAACUCCGUGCCAGCAGCCGCGGUAAUACGGAGGGUGCAAGCGUUGUUCGGAAUUACUGGGCGUAAAGAGCGUGUAGGCGGUUUGACAAGUCAGAUGUGAAAGCCCCGGGCUCAACCCGGGAAGUGCAUUUGAAACUGGUUCACUAGAGUAUGGGAGAGGAGAUUGGAAUUCCUGGUGUAGAGGUGAAAUUCGUAGAUAUCAGGAGGAACACCCGUGGCGAAGGCGAUUCUCUGGACCAAUACUGACGCUGAGACGCGAAAGCGUGGGGAGCAAACAGGAUUAGAUACCCUAGUAGUC